rnacentral:rRNA from 1 species
UACGAAAAAGACUAGCGUUGUCCGGAUUUACUGGGCGUAAAGCGCACGUAGGCGGAUUGUUAAGUCAGGGGUGAAAUCCUGGAGCUCAACUCCAGAACUGCCUUUGAUACUGGCAAUCUAGAGUCCGGAAGAGGUGAGUGGAACUCCUAGUGUAGAGGUGGAAUUCGUAGAUAUUAGGAAGAACACCAGUGGCGAAGGCGGCUCACUGGUCCGGUACUGACGCUGAGGUGCGAAAGCGUGGGGAGCAAACAGG